rnacentral:miRNA from 1 species
GAGGAAAGUGGGCAGUUGGGUU